rnacentral:rRNA from 1 species
AUGGCCACUUGGCCGGCAACACAAGAAACCUUGCCGGAUGGUGAACAGUGGGACUGGGCAGUGCAUAAGGAAAAUUUGCAAACACAGUUGGCUCGGGCGCAGACUAAGUACAAGAAGUUUGCAGACCGGAAUCACACCAAGCGCGUCUUUCAGGUUGGUGAACAGGUGCUGCUGAAACUCCAACCUUACGUACAGAAAUCUGUGGCCAGCCGCCCGUGCUCCAAGUUGGCAUUCGAGUUCUUCGGACCCUUCUCCAUCAUCACCUAGAUCGGUCCCUCGGCAUACAAGCUGGAAUUGCCGUCAGACAAUCUCAUACAUCCCGUGUUUCAUGUUUCCCAACUGAAGCCCUUCACACCAAAUUAUACAUCGGUGUUCUCUGAACUGCCUGCAACUACAGACUUUUCGGCAAUGGAUUCCAAGCCUAUUGAAAUAUUGGACCGGAGAAUGAGGAAGAGAGGUGACGCACCCGUGGUUCAAGUUCAAGUGGCGUGGAGCAAAACCCCUCCAUCAACAACUUGGGAAGACUACGAGGUUCUUCGACGGCGCUAUCCACAGGCAGAAAUCUGGGACGGCAGCAACUUCGACGAGUGA